GGCCUGAUGGUCUAGUAGUAUGAUUCCUUGUUAGGGCACUUAGUGGACUACUCGAGGAGGUCCCGGGUUCAAUUCCCGGUCAGGCCC